GAUGAACGCUAGCGAUAGGCUUAACACAUGCAAGUCGAGGGGCAGCAUGGUCUUAGCUUGCUAAGACUGAUGGCGACCGGCGCACGGGUGCGUAACGCGUAUGCAACUUGCCUCACAGAGGGGGAUAACCCGUCGAAAGACGGACUAAUACCGCGUACACUCUAUUUUGGGCAUCCAAGGUAGAGGAAAUGAAAUUCGCUGUGAGAUAGGCAUGCGUCCCAUUAGCUAGUUGGUGAGGUAACGGCUCACCAAGGCGACGAUGGGUAGGGGAACUGAGAGGUUGAACCCCCACACUGGUACUGAGACACGGACCAGACUCCUAUGGGAGGCAGCAGUGAGGAAUAUUGGUCAAUGGGCGAGGGCCUGAACCAGCCAAGUCGCGUGAAGGAUGACUGUCUUAUGGAUUGUAAACUUCUUUUGUAGGGGAAUAAAGAGGGGCACGUGUGCCCCAGUGAAUGUACCCUACGAAUAAGCAUCGGCUAACUCCGUG
rnacentral:rRNA from 1 species